CUGGCGGCAUGCCUUACACAUGCAAGUCGAACGGCAGCAUGGAGGAGCUUGCUCCUCUGAUGGCGAGUGGCGAACGGGUGAGUAAAGCAUCGGAACGUACCGUGUAGUGGGGGAUAACGUAGCGAAAGUUACGCUAAUACCGCAUACGCACUGAGGUGGAAAGCAGGGGAUCGCAAGACCUUGCGCUAUACGAGCGGCCGAUGUCAGAUUAGCUAGUUGGUAGGGUAAAGGCCUACCAAGGCGACGAUCUGUAGCGGGUCUGAGAGGAUGAUCCGCCACACUGGGACUGAGACACGGCCCAGACUCCUACGGGAGGCAGCAGUGGGGAAUUUUGGACAAUGGGGGAAACCCUGAUCCAGCCAUGCCGCGUGAGUGAAGAAGGCCUUCGGGUUGUAAAGCUCUUUCGGCUGGGAAGAAAUCGCACAGGCUAAUACUCUGUGUGGAUGACGGUACCAGCACAAGAAGCACCGGCUAACUACGUG
rnacentral:rRNA from 1 species